rnacentral:misc_RNA from 1 species
AAGUCGUAACAAGGUUUCCGUAGGUGAACCUGCGGAAGGAUCAUUAUUGAGAUAGUCAGAAGCCUAUUAGGUCACCCAAACGCUUGAAAUAUUAGCGGAAUGGGCAGUAAUACAAUCGGCAUGAACCGUUUGAAUUCCAAGGGCCAAGGCUUAGUCCCACCCCGAUGCUAUAUUAUAACUCUGUUGCUUUCCGGGCGUCAUACCCCGGAGAGAACCCAACUCUUGAAUUUUAUGGAACGUCUGAGUACUAUAUAAUAGUUAAAA